rnacentral:rRNA from 1 species
AUUGAACGCUGGCGGCAGGCCUAACACAUGCAAGUCGAGCGGUAGAGAGGUGCUUGCAUCUCUUGAGAGCGGCGGACGGGUGAGUAAUGCCUAGGAAUCUGCCUAGUGGUGGGGGAUAACGUUCGGAAACGGACGCUAAUACCGCAUACGUCCUACGGGAGAAAGCGGGGGAUCUUCGGACCUCGCGCCAUUAGAUGAGCCUAGGUCGGAUUAGCUAGUUGGUGAGGUAAUGGCUCACCAAGGCGACGAUCCGUAACUGGUCUGAGAGGAUGAUCAGUCACACUGGAACUGAGACACGGUCCAGACUCCUACGGGAGGCAGCAGUGGGGGAAUUUUGGACAAUGGGCGCAAGCCUGAUCCAGCAAUGCCGCGUGCAGGAUGAAGGCCUUCGGUGUAACUAGCUUUGUACGGAACGAAACGGUAGAGCUCUAAUACAGUUGCUAAUGACGGUACCGUAAGAAUAAGACACC